GACGAACGCUGGCGGCGUGCUUAACACAUGCAAGUCGAACGGAAAGGCCCUGCUUUUGUGGGGUGCUCGAGUGGCGAACGGGUGAGUAACACGUGAUUAACCUGCCCUUGACUUUGGGAUAACUUCAGGAAACUUGGGCUAAUACCGGAUAGGAGCUCCUGCUGCAUGGUGGGGGUUGGAAAGUUUCGGCGGUUGGGGAUGGACUCGCGGCUUAUCAGCUUGUUGGUGGGGUAGUGGCUUACCAAGGCUUUGACGGGUAGCCGGCCUGAGAGGGUGACCGGCCACAUUGGGACUGAGAUACGGCCCAGACUCCUACGGGAGGCAGCAGUGGGGAAUAUUGCACAAUGGGCGGAAGCCUGAUGCAGCAACGCCGCGUGCGGGAUGACGGCCUUCGGGUUGUAAACCGCUUUCGCCUGUGACGAAGCGUGAGUGACGGUAAUGGGUAAAGAAGCACCGGCUAACUACGUG
rnacentral:rRNA from 1 species